GCCUUGAUAGCUCAGUUGGUAGAGCAGUGGUCUCAAAAUCCACUGACCCGGGUUCAAAACCAAGUCGAUGCG
rfam:Strongylocentrotus purpuratus Contig53471_fixed, whole genome shotgun sequence.